rnacentral:misc_RNA from 1 species
UGGCUCUCCCAUCGAUGAAGAACGCAGCGAAAUGCGAUAAGUAAUGUGAAUUGCAGAAUUCAGUGAAUCAUCGAAUCUUUGAACGCACCUUGCGCCCCUUGGUAUUCCGAUGGGCAUGCCUGUUUGAGUGUCAUUAAAUUCUCAACCUUACCAGCUUUGUCUGUUGUGAGGCUUGGAUGUGAGGGUUUUGCCGGCUUCCUUGAGUGGAUGGUCAGCUCCCUUUAAAUGCAUUAGUGGGAUCCUUUGUGGACGGUCACUUGGUGUGAUAAUUAUCUACGCCGCUCGACUGUGAAGCAAAACUUAUGGGAACCUGCUCAUAACUGUCCUCUCUGGACAAUUUAUUGACAAUUUGACCUCAAAUCAGGUAGGACUACCCGCUGA